AGAGUUUGAUCAUGGCUCAGGAUGAACGCUAGCGGGAGGCCUAACACAUGCAAGCCGAGCGGUAGAGAUUCUUCGGAAUCUUGAGAGCGGCGUACGGGUGCGGAACACGUGUGCAACCUACCUUUAUCUGGAGGAUAGCCUUUCGAAAGGAAGAUUAAUACUCCAUAAUAUAUUGAUUGGCAUCGAUUGAUAUUGAAAGCUCCGGCGGAUAGAGAUGGGCACGCGCAAGAUUAGCUAGUUGGUGAGGUAACGGCUCACCAAGGCGAUGAUCUUUAGGGGGCCUGAGAGGGUGAUCCCCCACACUGGUACUGAGACACGGACCAGACUCCUACGGGAGGCAGCAGUGAGGAAUAUUGGUCAAUGGGUGCAAGCCUGAACCAGCCAUCCCGCGUGAAGGACGACUGCCCUAUGGGUUGUAAACUUCUUUUGUAUAGGGAUAAACCUACCCUCGUGAGGGUAGCUGAAGGUACUAUACGAAUAAGCACCGGCUAACUCCGUG
rnacentral:rRNA from 1 species